rnacentral:sRNA from 1 species
UAACUACUAACUGUGUGUUUUUCUUGUUGUCUUCUUGAUCCAGGUACACCUCUACUGUAUGCGAACUCGAUCAACAGGCAACCAGAACCUCCUUUUCAACGACAACAUCAACCGCACAGCCCGCGAAAUCAGAAAAAGGAGAACCACAGUCAACACUGUACCUCAGCAACCACUCGUUAUGGCUGAAGAACAGAAUCAACAAAAUGGCCAUGCCAACAUUGGUGUUGGAGAUGCACCACGUGAUCACCGUCAGAGGAAGGGAAUCGCACCUCCUGCUAUCCAGAAUAACAACUUCGAGAUUAAGAGUGGUCUCAUCUCGAUGAUUCAGGGGAACAAAUUCCAUGGUUUGCCAAUGGAGGAUCCACUCGACCACCUUGAUGAAUUCGAUAGGCUCUGCAACCUAACGAAGAUCAACGGUGUCAGUGAAGACGGAUUCAAGCUCCGUUUGUUCCCAUUCUCGUUGGGCGACAAAGCACAUAUCUGGGAGAAGAAUCUGCCCCAUGACUCAAUCACCACCUGGGAUGAUUGUAAGAAAGCUUUUCUGUCAAAGUUCUUCUCCAAUCCCAGAACUGCAAGACUCAGAAAUGAGAUUUCUGGUUUCUCACAGAAGACUGGUGAAAGCUUCUGUGAAGCAUGGGAGCGUUUCAAGGGUUACACCAACCAAUGCCCUCAUCAUGGCUUUACUAAAGCCUCUCUUCUCAGCACUCUUUACAGAGGAGUCCUACCACGCAUCAGAAUGCUUCUGGAUACCGCUAGCAAUGGGAAUUUCCAGAACAAGGAUGUUGAAGAAGGCUGGGAAUUGGUUGAGAACUUGGCUCAAUCAGAUGGUAAUUACAACGAGGACUGUGAUAGGACCGUCAGAGGCACAGCUGACUCUGAUGACAAACACAGGAAGGAUAUCAAAGCGCUGAAUGACAAGCUGGACAGGAUUCUUCUUAGCCAGCAUAAGCAUGUGCACUUCCUUGUUGAUGACGAGCAGUAUGAAGUCCAAGAUGGGGAGGGUAACCAGUUGGAAGAAGUAAGCUACAUCAACAACAACCAGGGUGGCUACAAAGGAUACAACAACUUCAAAACCGACAAUCCCAACCUCUCCUACCGCAGCACAAACGUUGCUAAUCCUCAGGAUCAGGUGUAUCCUCCGCAGCAACAACAAAGUCAGAACAAACCUUUUGUUCCCUGCAACCAAGGUUUCGUUCCCAAGCAGCAAUUCCAGGGGAACUACCAGCAACCACCACCACCUGGGUUUGCACCUCAGCAAAACCAAGGUCCUGCUGCUCGUGAUGCUGAAAUGAAACAGAUGGUCCAGCAGCUGCUACAGGGACAAUCAUCUAGCUCAAUGGAAAUGGCUAAGAAAUUAUAUGAAUUGCACCAUAAGCUGGACUGCAGCUACAAUGACCUGAAUGCCAAAGUGGAGGCAUUGAAUACCAAAC